AACGAACGCUGGCGGCGUGCCUAACACAUGCAAGUCGAACGGAAAGGCCCUGCUUUUGUGGGGUGCUCGAGUGGCGAACGGGUGAGUAACACGUGAGUAACCUGCCCUUGACUUUGGGAUAACUUCAGGAAACUGGGGCUAAUACCGGAUAGGAGCUCCUGCUGCUUGGGGGGGGUUGGACAGUUUCGGCGGUUGGGGAUGGACGCGCGGAUUAUCAGCUUGUUGGUGGGGUAGUGGCUUACCAAGGCUUUGACGGGUAGCCGGCCUGAGAGGGGGACCGGCCACAUGGGGACUGAGAUACGGCCCAGACUCAUACGGGAGGCAACGGUGGGGAGUAUUGUCCAACGGGCGGAGGCAUGUUGCAGCAACGCCGCGUGCGGGAAGACGGCCUUCGGGUUGGAAACCGCUUUCGCCUGAGACGAAGCGUGAGUGACGGUAAUGGGUAAAGAAGCACCGGCUAACUACGUG
rnacentral:rRNA from 1 species